AUUGAACGCUGGCGGCAUGCUUUACACAUGCAAGUCGAACGGUAACAGGCCGCAAGGUGCUGACGAGUGGCGAACGGGUGAGUAAUGCAUCGGAACGUGCCCAGUCGUGGGGGAUAACUACUCGAAAGAGUAGCUAAUACCGCAUACGAUCUAUGGAUGAAAGCGGGGGACCGUAAGGCCUCGCGCGAUUGGAGCGGCCGAUGUCAGAUUAGGUAGUUGGUGGGGUAAAGGCUCACCAAGCCAACGAUCUGUAGCUGGUCUGAGAGGACGACCAGCCACACUGGGACUGAGACACGGCCCAGACUCCUACGGGAGGCAGCAGUGGGGAAUUUUGGACAAUGGGCGCAAGCCUGAUCCAGCAAUGCCGCGUGCAGGAAGAAGGCCUUCGGGUUGUAAACUGCUUUUGUACGGAACGAAACGGCUCUGGUUAAUACCCGGGGGUAAUGACGGUACCGUAAGAAUAAGCACCGGCUAACUACGUG
rnacentral:rRNA from 1 species